UACGUAGGCAGCGAGCGUUGUUCGGAGUUACUGGGCGUAAAGCGUGCGUAGGCGGUGUGUCGCGUCGGCCGUGAAAACCUGCAGCUUAACUGUGGGCUUGCGGUCGAUACGGGCAUCACUGGAGUUCGGCAGGGGAGACUGGAAUUCCUGGUGUAGCGGUGAAAUGCGCAGAUAUCAGGAGGAACACCGGUGGCGAAGGCGGCUUUCUGGACGACAACUGACGCUGAGACGCGAAAGCGUGGGGAGCAAACAGG
rnacentral:rRNA from 1 species